ACCCAACCCAAUACAACAGUAUACGUACAACAUACCAAACGACCCAACCCCAACCCCUGUAUUUGCCUUCGUCUUCUUCACGCAAGAACAAUGAAGAACAUUGUGAAAUCCAGAAACACGACCCACCCCUGUACUUGUUUGCCUAGAAGUUCUAGAAAAGCGGUGCCAGCAGUACUAUCCCAUCACCAUCGCUGUUUUCUCCCCCCUUUAGAGCUUCCUAUCUGUUUUACUGUUGGUCUUGAAAAGGAGCAAAGAAAAUUCAAACUCUUUCAUUCAAAAUUCAAAAGGGUUUCCCCCUAAACCAACACCAAAUUCCUCUAUAUAAACCUCCAUCUUCUUUAGUGUAGGAGAGAAGAAAAAUCAUGUUGAGAAAAAUAGGGCAGGAAAGAUUAAGAUAGAAGAAAAAUAGAGAGAGGCUAACAAUAGAGUUGGGAAAAGCGAGGAAAAACAAUAAGAAUUUCUUAAGAAUGGAGAGGGGGAGAUGGAGAUAGUUCUACCAUUAGAAACAGAAUAACAAUUACAAAAGAUAGUAGGAUUGAGGACAAUAGUAUUCUGUAGCUAGAUUUUUCGGGUUAGAUGUUAGAUUCUGCCGAAAUUUCACUUGUGGCGGUGAAUAGCUUCACGGUUAAGCUCGUUGUACCGGUUUCUUUGCCUCGAAGAGGUAACAUUCCUUUAAUUUUUCAUUUCUUUUAGUUCAUUUUGUUUCAACGUUAUAUGAACUCUCCAGUGUUUAGCCUACAUCUUAAUGAUUUUAAUUUUGAGUUUUUUCUCAUUUAAAUUUCUUAUCUAUGCUUUGAUCUACUCUACUUAUAGUAUUGAGCUUUCUGAAUAUGUUUAAUCUCUGGCCCCCUUUCCUUGCAAUUGCUACUUAGUUCUAGUAUAGCUCACAUGUUGAUGAAAUAUUGUUGUCUUAAUAUUUUGUUUACCGUGAAUCUGCAUUUGGAUGUGAUAUGGACCAAGUUAAUUAAUGUGCACUGCUACCUGUUUUCAACCAAAUGAUUUGUUAUUGUAUUUAGCAAUACAACAUAUGCUCUUUGUUAACUCAUAUUAUAUGUAGACUUGUUUUUAACUUAUAAUGUCUGCACACUAGUGUAGUCUUGAGUAUAUUUGGUUAUGAUUUUAACACAUUUCAGUGUCUACUUCUAGAUACAUUUGUGCGUAGUUUGGCAAACUCACCUUGAUUCAUGUCAUCUCGAUCUAAGAUCGAUCUGUGUUUAUUUGGUCGAUGCAUUUUUCAAUUGUCUACUUUGAAUACUCUAUCACUAUGUCUAUGUUUCCUAUUUACCUCUUGCCUUAAAUCUCAUGUGUCAUCAUUGACAUUCUUAUCUCGUGAUGAGUAGAUGUCUUCAUCUAAAGUCUUAUUAAUUUGAAUCUUGCGUCAUUUGGUGUAUCUUGCUACUAAUCUUCUGAAUGCCAACAAACUGGUUUGGCUUAUUCUCUUAAUGUGUUAUAGUUGUGAUUUUUAUGUUGUGAAGCUUUAGAAUCAUUUGAAUGCUAAAAAUUGUUUGUUACUUUUCCAAAUAAGUAUUGGUAAUGUGCAUCUAAUUCCUUACUGCAUGACAUAUAAUGCAACCACUUUCAUAUUUUAUCAAAAUUGUUUGGUUUUAUCCUUAUAGACUAACAGUACCCUUAAACAUUGUUCAAGUGGAUUCAAUAUUAUUCUUCUCUUGAUCUUGUUGGAUCGUAAAUGCUAAAUCAUAAAAAUAGUUUGUUAUGUGUAUUCAUUUGUAUGCCAAUGGAGAAAUGUGAUUUUUUUAAUCUAUCUGGAAGUAUGCUGAUAGAUUUGGGAUUUUAAAUUGUUUAAAUAUAUUUUAGUUGAUUAAUUAAACGAUACUACUUUGUUCACCUCUCCUUUUUCUCGCAUGUGAUCAAUCCGAGUUUAUUUUGGACUCCAUUCCUACAUUUCGUUGAGUAUAGAUUCUUAUUGGGUCGAACUUCAUCAUUGUUCGAGUUUUGGAAGCGAAAACAGGUCUUGGAGAGUCCAAAAAUUGAUUGUAUACAUUCAAUCUACAAUGAUAUAUAGGAGAAAAUGCAGCAAAAUAGGUCAAAACGCAGAUACACAUGUCAAAUGUUGAUAUACAAGUUGAAAACAGGAAAUCUCAGUCUCGAAAAAUCCAAAACGAGCUAUAUACAAAUUGUUUACAAUAGUAUUUUGGGAAAAUUGUGGAGAAUGGCAAACUAAGGAAGAUGUUUGGUUCAAUCAAUGGAUGCCCAAUCUCCAUCGAAAAGAUUCACAAGAGGUAUACCAUUGCAUGUUGAAAUUGAUGUUGAACACCCAUCAUUUUCAUUGGGUCUAACUCAGGAAUUUGGGGAGAUUUCAGAUUCAUUGUCUAAAUUUACUACCAUUCAAGAGAUAAGAUCCAAAUUCAAUAAUGACCCAAGUAGAUUUGUUGAUGGAGGUGUGAAGAAUCUUGUCGAUGUUGUUACUGGGUCAAGUAAGAAAAGGAAACAUAAAGCUGAUGUUUAUACCGUUCAGAAUAAUAAAAAUGAAGCUGUUGGUUCUGGGUCAAUCAAGCAUCAUAAGGUAUCUGUAUAAUCAUUGUUCAUGUACAUAUUUAGAUUUUAUAUUAUAUGUUUUGUUUUUGUGUUGAAUCAUGUCUUAUACAAUUGCAAUUGUAUAAAUGUAUAAUCUAUAUUAGUAUAUGUUUUUGUGUUUCUGUUGA